UUUAGUAGCAUGUGGAGGUAAAGCACUGAAUAUGUGAGGGUUCUUACCAGAAUACCGAUCAUUAUCAAACUCUGAAUGCCAUGUGUGUAAGAACAGGAGUCAGACAGUGACAGCUAAGUGCCAUUGUCAAAAGGGAAAGAGCCCAGACCAACAGCUAAGGUCCCAAAAUUGUAGUUAAGUGGAAAAGGAUGUGGGAAUUCAUAGACAACCAGGAUGUUGGCUCAGAAGCAGCCAUUCAUUUAAAGAGUGCGUAAAAGCUCACUGGUCGAAGUAGGCCUGCGCCGAAAAUUACCGGGGCUAAACUACAUACCGAAGCUUUGGAUUUGGUACGUAAAGUAUUAAGUGGUAGAGGAGCGUUGUAUAAAGGUUGAAGCUAUACUGAAAAGAGUAGUGGACGAUAUACAAGAGAGAAUGCCGGAAUAAGUAGCGAGAGCACAGUGAGAAUCUGUGCCGCCGAAAACCUAAGGUUUCCUGGGGAAGGUUCGUCCGCCCAGGGUAAGUCGGGACCUAAGACGAGGCUAAAGCAGCGUAGUCGAUGGAAAGCAGGUAAAAGAUUCCUGCACUACCGAAAUGCGAUAUACAAUAUAUCAUGACGCAUCAGAAGAGUCUAAGCGAGCAAAUGGAAAAGUUCGUACCGCAAGGUGGAGUGAAAAAUAGUAACGAAGUAGAUAAAUCAGGUGACAAGAAAAGUGAUAUAGGAGCAUAGAGGUACUCGUACCGUAAACCGACACAGGUAGGAAGAAAGAGAAUUUUCAGGCGAACGAGAGAAUCAUUGUUAAGGAACUCGGCAAAUUAACCCCGUAACUUAGGGAUAAGGGGAGCCAAUAGCGAUAUUGGUCGCAGAGAAAUGGCCCAAGCAACUGUUUAGCAAAAACACAGGUUUCUGCCAAAUCGAAAGAUGAAGUAUAGGAGCUGACGCCUGCCCAGUGCUGGAAGGUCAAGGGGAAGAGUAAACGUUUCGAUGUGAAGCUCUGAACUUAAGCCCCAGUGAACGGCGGCCGUAACUAUAACGGUCCUAAGGUAGCGAAAUUCCUUGUCAGGUAAGUUCUGACCCGCACGAAAGGCGUAAUGAUUUGGGCACUGUCUCGACAAUGAACUCGGCGAAAUUGUAGUACUAGUGAAGAUGCUAGUUACCUGUGAUAAGACAGAAAGACCCCAUGGAGCUUUACUGUAGCUUGAUAUUGAGACUAGGUAAGAGAUGUACAGAAUAGAUGGGAGACUAUGAGAUAAGGACGCCAGUUCUUAAGGAGUCACCUUUGGGAUACCAUCCUUCUUUUACUUGGAAUCUAACUAGUUGCCAUGAACUGGUAAUAGGACAGUGUCAGGUGGGCAGUUUGACUGGGGCGGUCGCCUCCUAAAGAGUAACGGAGGCGUUCAAAGGUCAGCUUAACACGGUCAGAAAUCGUGUGAUGACGUGCAAAGGCGUAAGCUGGCUUGACUGCAAGACUGACAGGUCGAGCAGACGCGAAAGCGGGACUUAGUGACCCGAUGGUUGUGAGUGGAAAUGCCAGAGCUCAACGGAUAAAAGUUACCCUGGGGAUAACAGGCUUAUCUCCCCCGAGAGUCCAUAUCGACGGGGAGGUUUGGCACCUCGAUGUCGGCUCAUCGCAUCCUGGAGCGGUAGUACGUUCCAAGGGUUGGGCUGUUCGCCCAUUAAAGCGGUACGCGAGCUGGGUUCAGAACGUCGUGAGACAGUUCGGUCCUUAUCUAUCACAGGCGUAAGAUAUUUGAGAGGAGUUGCCCCUAGUACGAGAGGACCGGGGUGAAGGAACCGAUGGUGCACCAGUUGUAUCACCAGAUGCAUAGCUGGGUAGCCAAGUUCCGAUGGGAUAAACGCUGAAAGCAUAUAAGUGUGAAGCCCACCUCAAGAUUAGAUAUCUCAUGGCGAAAGUCAGUAAGACCCCAAGAAGACUACUUGGUUGAUAGGCUGGAAGUGUAAGUAUAGUAAUAUAUUAAGCGGACCAGUACUAAUAGGUCGAGGGCUUGACC
rnacentral:rRNA from 1 species